CCCUUAGAUGUUCGGGGCCGCACGCGCGCUACACUGAAGGAAUCAGCACGUCUUUCUCCUUGUCCGAAAGGACUGGGUAACCCGCUGAACCUCCUUCGUGCUAGGGAUUGGGGCUUGUAAUUCUUCCCCAUGAACGAGGAAUUCCCAGUAAGCGCGAGUCAUAAGCUCGCGUUGAUUACGUCCCUGCCCUCUGUACACACCGCCCGUCGCUACUACCGAUUGGAUGGUUUAGUGAGAUCCUCGGAUUGGUCCCGGCGCGGCCUCUGGUCGUGCCGGAGUGCCGAAAAGAAUGUCGAACUUGAUCAUCUAGAGGAAGUAAAAGUCGUAACA
rnacentral:rRNA from 1 species